rnacentral:rRNA from 1 species
GUCUAUGGCCGUACCACCCUGAAUGUUCCUGAUUUCAGAAGCUAAGCAGGGUCAGGCCUGGUUAGUACAUGGAUGUGAAAUUGUUUAUUUAUUAGAGAGAGAAAGAGGCAGAGGUA